rnacentral:sRNA from 1 species
UUUUGAUUUCUUUGCUUGAAAUUGUUAAACUAAUAAGUGCGUGGAAUGUAUACGU